rnacentral:rRNA from 1 species
AUUUUUAAUUGUAAUCUUGAAUGAAUGGUUUAAUGAAAUAAAUUCUUUUUUAUUUAUAAUUUUGAAUUUUAUUUUUUAGUUAAAAAGCUAAAAUAAGUUAAAGGGACGAGAAGACCCUAUAGAAUUUUAUAUUUUAAUUAUUAAUUUAAAUUUAAUAAUAUUUAAAUUUUUAAUUUUUAAUAUUUUAUUGGGGCGAUAAUUAAAUUUAAUUAACUUUUAAUUACAAUUCAUUAAUAUAUGUAUUAAUGAUCUUUUUUUAUUGAUUAAAAAUUUAAAUUACCUUAGGGAUAACAGCAUAAUAAUAUUAAGAAGUUCUUAUUUUUAAUAUUGUUUAU